CCGUCUCUGGAGCUCACUUAGGCGGUGCUCUGAAUCCCCUCUCCUUGCGCACCCCGAAACAGUGGUCUCUUGCUUCUUUGGCAGGUCCAGACUUUUUCCUGGACUCCCUCCCAGCCAGCUGUGGGGCACUAGCCCCCUUUCAGGCUGUGUUCACGCAGCCAACUCCAGUCCUCUCCCUGGGAUCUGACCUCCGAAGCCCGAGCCUCAGCUCCCAGCCCUUGCCCGCCCUGGCGGGUGAGCAGACAAGCCUCUCAGGCAGGAUUUGGUGCUUUUCCUCUGUGUUUUCUGGUGUGACUCUUGGCUACGGAUAAUCCAGACCGUGACUGCUGACUGUAGCCACGUGAGUCUGGGAAGGCGGUCAGCAGCUACUACUGGAGUUUUUGAAGAACGUAAAAUGCUCUAAAAAUGUGAGCAUGGGUCACCCUGAGAUGCUGCGAGAGACUUCUAAGACCCUUUGGAGAGUAAGCGCACUGGGACGUGGUCAGACUCCCAGAUACUGGGGUUGCUCAUGGUGCCAGGGGGAGAGUGCGUAAGCCAAGGGCAGCCGCGGUAGCUGCUGGCUCUCUGAGCACUGCACUCUGUCACUGUUCAUCUUGUUGAAUGCCAGCAGGCCGGCCUCUGCCGAGAGGACAGUUAACUACUGCAACUUCACUUUUGGAGAGAACUUGAAAGUUCUCCUGAUUCACAGCCUCAGAGCUGAUUCCGCUGAAACAGGAAGCUCCCUCCUUGAUGCUUUAGAAGCCACAGAGAUGAUGGAGACACUUCCCUGGUGGAUGCUGAGAAACAGACCCUUCACAAACACCACCCUUCCCAAGUUCAAGGAGAGCUUGGAUGGAAUGCACUUGGCCGGUGUGUUCUUACGGAUAUGCUUGCAGUGAUUCGUAGGGCAUUG